rnacentral:lncRNA from 1 species
CACAACUGGGCAGCCCUGGCUUCCAGCUCUGGGCUUCAGCACAACAGACACCAGCCUGUGGUCUCUCAGAAGCCAGGGAGACCACAUCGGGCUCAGGACGUUUUACCCAAAGUCCAGAGUUUUUAUGCCUCUCCCUGGCAUUCUCCAUAAAGAAGGGAAGGUCAGAUGACCCCUUAGAUCUGUGUCAUCUGGGAAUUUCCUUGGGCUGGUUUAGACACGAUGCCCUCUUUUUCUCAGGAUAGCAGAUAACCUGCUUUGAAAGAGGGCUUAAUUCUGUGGGUCCUAAAUUUUCUCCUUUCUCUCUCUCUUUCUGUGUGUGUGUGUUGGGAAAAUGGCAAGUUUCCAAUACCAGCUUUGGAGGAACGAUUACGUUUUCCCUCCAAUUUCAAGUCCGAAAGACCAGAGCCCUCAUUCCAAAGCCCCCCACCCAGAUGGAUUUUUUCGUUUCAUUUGUCAUCCGUCCCAUGGGAGGGCCCCAUGUCUCCUCAGAACCCAUCCUGGAGGCAGCAGGUCGGGUAGAGUGAGUUUGGCCUGCUCAUGACCUCCACCCCUGAGAUUGUGAACAAGGAUGUCUGGGGCGAUGCUGAGAAUGUUUUUGAAGCUGCUCCCAGAUGACGCUGAUGAUCACACCAGAUUGAGUGCUGCGAUCGCCUUGAGUCCAACCUCUGCAUAAACGAGGUUCUCAUAAACAAGUUCACUCUACCCUAAGCUAAGUCUAUGUGAGCAAACCCACUUCAUCCUUUGUACCUGGAGACCUGGUUACACUAACCUGAUACUGACCUGUUCAUGUAGCUGGAAUGGUGUGUUUCAUGCAGUGUGGACCAAGCAAUGGCAUGGGGUGUGUGUGUGUGUGUGUGUGUGUCUGUGUGUGUGUGUUUGUGUAUGCGUUCACACUUGUGUGUGUAUAUGUGCAUGUAGAUGCUGCAUAAAUGAUUUUUGAUGUCAAAGACAAACACAUUCCAUUGUUUUAAAUAUUCUAUUAUGUAAACAAUACGCAGAGGGACCAUAUCUACUCUUGUCAUAUUAUUUGUGAUGGUAAAACAUGCAUUUGCAAUAAAUUAAGCUUUCUGGGAAGGCAAGCAGUAUUGGAGCCAAACGACUGUCUCGGAACAUGUGUGUGUUAUCUCGGUUCAUAUCAAGUCCAAAGCUAAUGGAGCCUUCCCCGCCAUCCAGGGAGGAACACCAGGACCCCGGAGUUUCUUCUUAGUGCUAUAUUUUAAAGUUGCAUUGACGUUUUCCUCCCCUUCCUUUUGUGCAAGUUGGAAGUAGCAGUGUUCUAAAAGAUGGUUUGACGUUUUUGCUGUUGUUUUAUGUUUUUAAAAAUGUAUCUGCUUUGUGUUUGGAAAUAAAAAUCUCUAUUUUGGUCUAUGAAAU